rnacentral:rRNA from 1 species
GACGAACGCUGGCGGCGUGCUUAACACAUGCAAGUCGAGCGGUAAGGCCUCUUCGGGGGUACACGAGCGGCGAACGGGUGAGUAACACGUGGGUGACCUGCCCUCAGCUCUGGGAUAAGCCUGGGAAACUGGGUCUAAUACCGGAUAUGACUGCGCAUCGCAUGGUGUGUGGUGGAAAGUUCCUGGCCUUUGGGUUGGGUUCGGUUGGGGAUGGGCCCGCGGCCUAUCAGCUUGNGGUGGGGUGAUGGCCUACCAAGGCGACGACGGGUAGCCGGCCUGAGAGGGCGUCCGGCCACACUGGGACUGAGACACGGCCCAGACUCCUACGGGAGGCAGCAGUGGGGAAUAUUGCGCAAUGGGCGGAAGCCUGACGCAGCGACGCCGC